AUUCUACUGAAAAAUUGUCACCACACUGAAAAUGUUUUGUAGAGAGGAAAUAAAUCUUUCAACGCAGUGUAAAAUUCCACUGAAAUAGAUGACCUCCAUUUCCUCAGUGUCUAAGCCUAUUUUUAAGCGAUUAAGCAACGCUCUGGAAAAAAAGUAAAAUCUCAUUGAGAACAGUGGGAGCUGUUACUGUAUAGCUACUAUUAGCAUUACCACCACGACUGUGCGGGGAGUUUUUCAUCAUUUGCGCAUAGGACCCUGCUCCACAAAGGCGAGCUGGACGAAGACUCUCCAUAGUGGAGUGUUCAAUCCAAGUGUAUUUCAGGAUCUUGAGAUGAAGAGAUGGCCUUGGAUUAUGAAUUAUCUGGGCAAAGCACUCCACAGUUCUUCAACUCUGGCGCUCUGGAAGAGUAUUCUUUCUAUGGCUGGUGGCCAGUCCCUCCUCUAGGCAUGCUGUCUUCCUCUGCCUCCCAGAGAAGCUCAAGCGGUGCACCAGAGCUUCAGAUAUGGUCUGCUCAAGCACGCAGGAGUCAUUGUCUCCUGGGGAAGCUCACACAGUGCACCAGAGCUUCAGCCCCAGCCAAACCUGAUCGUGAAGCAGCUUCUGGCCCGCAGGUCGCUGUGCUCCCUCUUCUCGUCUCUUGGCUGGAAGCGCAGAUUUGGGUUCUGUUCCUGACUCAGUCCAAGUGCCAGGUUGGUCAACAAGAGGAAGGGUCCUUACUGGGGACUAAAGGCCAGUGUACACAGACACCUACCUCCGUUACUUCUCACCUCCACAGCCACCCUGCGCGGCGGACACCACAUCCUGCAUCUUACAGGUGAUGGAGUCAAGGCUCAGUUCACUAGCUUUCCUAGCGCCAGAGAGUAACACGCCCAGGGUUUAGCCCAAAUGAUUUUGAAGCUGUAGCAGAGGAGGUAGGGCCCCCUGGACCUCUGCAGCCUGGUGCUCACCCUUCCGUGUGCUGCCCGGAGCUGGUUAGUUGGCAUGAAAUGGCUUAGCCUCAGGACUGAGGCUCUCAUGUCACACAUGCCAGGGAGCCAGUGCAGCCUUCGUGGUGACAAAUGUGGGAGAUCCUUGGGCCCAACACCUCUUCACGAAGUGCCUUCUGGGCCUCUUAGGCCAAAAGCCAGAACCAGGAUGGAGUGACAGAAGCCUCCGAAUAGGUCCAGGGGAGCUGGAAUAAACCUUUCAAGAUGAAAAGUCCUGAGUGCAUCAUUUAUAAUUACACCUGUUUCCUUUGCUCAGUUCUAACAGUCAACCUAUUGACGAGGAAUUUUGCCGUCUUCCUCCUCCUCGUCAUCAUGCUAUCAGGAUCUGCUCCUCCCUGUCCACUCCCCCAAAGGGUUCUCAUGACAGUUGGUUUCACCCCACCACUCAGAGGAGGAGGUGUAUUUCAAUGAGCUCCCCGCUUCCCCUUCUCCCCACACCCUGCCACCACCUUCAUGAAUUUUGCUGAAAUCCUAUUUCUGGGGGACAGAGAUGAAUGCUGUGUAGUUAUCUGAUUAAACUGCCUCUUGUUUAAAUC
rnacentral:lncRNA from 9 species